AAAUUGAAGAGUUUGAUCAUGGCUCAGAUUGAACGCUGGCGGCAGGCCUAACACAUGCAAGUCGAACGGUAACAGGAAGCAGCUUGCUGCUUUGCUGACGAGUGGCGGACGGGUGAGUAAUGUCUGGGAAACUGCCUGAUGGAGGGGGAUAACUACUGGAAACGGUGGCUAAUACCGCAUAACGUCGCAAGACCAAAGAGGGGGACCUUCGGGCCUCUUGCCAUCAGAUGUGCCCAGAUGGGAUUAGCUUGUUGGUGAGGUAACGGCUCACCAAGGCGACGAUCCCUAGCUGGUCUGAGAGGAUGACCAGCCACACUGGAACUGAGACACGGUCCAGACUCCUACGGGAGGCAGCAGUGGGGAAUAUUGCACAAUGGGCGCAAGCCUGAUGCAGCCAUGCCGCGUGUAUGAAGAAGGCCUUCGGGUUGUAAAGUACUUUCAGCGGGGAGGAAGGUGUUGUGGUUAAUAACCGCAGCAAUUGACGUUACCCGCAGAAGAAGCACCGGCUAACUCCGUGCCAGCAGCCGCGGUAAUACGGAGGGUGCAAGCGUUAAUCGGAAUUACUGGGCGUAAAGCGCACGCAGGCGGUCUGUCAAGUCGGAUGUGAAAUCCCCGGGCUCAACCUGGGAACUGCAUUCGAAACUGGCAGGCUUGAGUCUUGUAGAGGGGGUAGAAUUCCAGGUGUAGCGGUGAAAUGCGUAGAGAUCUGGAGGAAUACCGGUGGCGAAGGCGGCCCCCUGGACAAAGACUGACGCUCAGGUGCGAAAGCGUGGGGAGCAAACAGGAUUAGAUACCCUGGUAGUCCACGCCGUAAACGAUGUCUACUUGGAGGUUGUGCCCUUGAGGCGUGGCUUCCGGAGCUAACGCGUUAAGUAGACCGCCUGGGGAGUACGGCCGCAAGGUUAAAACUCAAAUGAAUUGACGGGGGCCCGCACAAGCGGUGGAGCAUGUGGUUUAAUUCGAUGCAACGCGAAGAACCUUACCUGGUCUUGACAUCCACAGAAGAAUCCAGAGAUGGAUUUGUGCCUUCGGGAACUGUGAGACAGGUGCUGCAUGGCUGUCGUCAGCUCGUGUUGUGAAAUGUUGGGUUAAGUCCCGCAACGAGCGCAACCCUUAUCCUUUGUUGCCAGCGGUUAGGCCGGGAACUCAAAGGAGACUGCCAGUGAUAAACUGGAGGAAGGUGGGGAUGACGUCAAGUCAUCAUGGCCCUUACGACCAGGGCUACACACGUGCUACAAUGGCGCAUACAAAGAGAAGCGACCUCGCGAGAGCAAGCGGACCUCAUAAAGUGCGUCGUAGUCCGGAUUGGAGUCUGCAACUCGACUCCAUGAAGUCGGAAUCGCUAGUAAUCGUGGAUCAGAAUGCCACGGUGAAUACGUUCCCGGGCCUUGUACACACCGCCCGUCACACCAUGGGAGUGGGUUGCAAAAGAAGUAGGUAGCUUAACCUUCGGGAGGGCGCUUACCACUUUGUGAUUCAUGACUGGGGUGAAGUCGUAACAAGGUAACCGUAGGGGAACCUGCGGUUGGAUCACCUCCUUA
rnacentral:rRNA from 1 species